rnacentral:lncRNA from 1 species
GAGUUUGCCUGAGGUACCAUCAUCACAGUCCCAUCCUUGAGCCCUCUGAAAGAGCUGCUCUUUCUCAUCCCAUUCCUCUCUAGGAAGAAGAUCCUCCUGCAGAAGAAUGGAGUUGUGGGCAGCAGUGGAUUCAGUAUUCAAGGCACUGGGUAGAACUGCUCCUGAGAUAGACUGCAUGUGGGAGUGUUCCCCUUUGCACCCACAGGGGAUUUCUGGGCUGCAGGAGAUUGCUGCACUGGUGUUGAAGACCUUAAGGCUGCUUUGCAGGUUUCCUCACUGGAUCUGGCAGGAGGAAUAG